GCGGGUAUGGUUUAGUGGUAGAACACGACCUUGCCAAGGUCGAGGCACGGAUUCGAUUUCCGUUACCCGCUCCA
rnacentral:tRNA from 1 species